rnacentral:tRNA from 1 species
GCCUGGGUAGCUCAGUCGGUUGAGUGUCUGACUUCAGUUCAGGUCAUGAUCUCACAGUCCGUGUGUUCGAGUCGUGUGUCGGGCU